rnacentral:rRNA from 1 species
AACGAACGCUGGCGGCAGGCUUAACACAUGCAAGUCGAGCGAAGACUUCGGUCUUAGCGGCGGACGGGUGAGUAACGCGUGGGAACAUACCCUUUGCUACGGAACAGUCCCGGGAAACUGGGUUUAAUACCGUAUACGCCCUUCGGGGGAAAGAUUUAUCGGUGAAGGAUUAGCCCGCGUUGGAUUAGGUAGUUGGUGGGGUAAUGGCCUACCAAGCCGACGAUCCAUAGCUGGUUUGAGAGGAUGAUCAGCAACACUGGGACUGAGACACGGCCCAGACUCCUACGGGAGGCAGCAGUGGGGAAUCUUAGACAAUGGGGGCAACCCUGAUCUAGCCAUGCCGCGUGAGUGAAGAAGGUUUUCGGAUCGUAAAACUCUGUUGUUAGAGAAGAACAGGAGAAGUAGUAACUGGCUUCUUUUUGACGGUACCAGCAGAAGAAGCCCCGGCUAACUCCGUGCCAGCAGCCGCCGUAAAAC